rnacentral:rRNA from 1 species
AUUGAACGCUGGCGGCAUGCCUUACACAUGCAAGUCGAACGGCAGCGGGGGAGAAGCUUGCUUUUCCUGCCGGCGAGUGGCGAACGGGUGAGUAAUACAUCGGAACGUGCCCUGUAGUGGGGGAUAACUAGUCGAAAAAUUAGCUAAUACCGCAUACGACCUGAGGGUGAAAGUGGGGGACCGCAAGGCCUCAUGCUAUAGGAGCGGCCGAUGUCUGAUUAGCUAGUUGGUGGGGUAAAGGCCUACCAAGGCGACGAUCAGUAGCUGGUCUGAGAGGACGAUCAGCCACACGGGGACUGAGACACGGCGCAGACUCCUACGGGAGGCAGCAGUGGGGAAUUUUGGACAAUGGGCGAAAGCCUGAUCAAGCAAUGCCGCGUGUGUGAAGAAGGCCUUCGGGUUGUAAAGCACUUUUGUCCGGAAAGAAAUGGCUCUGGUUAAUACCUGGGGUCGAUGACGGUACCGGAAGAAUAAGGACCGGCUAACUACGUGCCAGCCGCCGCCGUAA